rnacentral:misc_RNA from 1 species
UUUUCCACUGAAGAAUACAGCCACACUGUUGGAAAUUUAUAGUUAUGUUUCUGGCAAAGCCGAUAAAAGUUAAUGUGUAAGGUUUGCUUAUUAUAUAAAUAUUCAACAGUCGUAAUUCAAUGGAGGAAAUCUCAAGUUUAGACUCAUUUCACACUGACGCCGAAUCAAGCGCUCGACCAGAAUCUGAGCCUCCUAAAAUAGACGAAGAUACAUCGCAAACUUCGAUGGAUAAAGUAGUUGAAGGUGAUGUCACUAAAGAUACCGAAGAAGGUAAUAACGAUGAAGACUUUGAGCAGAUUUCCGAUGGGUCUUUUGAAGUAGACGAAAAUUCAAAUGGGACAUCUUCAGGGCCACCCAAAGAUGAUGGAAAUAGUUCACAAGACAAGCUGGCCAGCGGUGAGGGUGAAGAGUGCGUUUUGGAAGAGAAUAAAACACCAGAGACAACGGAACAUAAGUCACAAGAAUCCACCGAUUUUGAAGCAGUAGAUGCAAAUGUAUCCGGUGGUGGCCACAAUGCUGCUGCUGAUGAAUCGGAUAUGUUGGGUGAGGCAGAUAUGACCUUACCAACCCAGGAUGAAGAAUUAGAUGCACCUGUGGAAUCAGCUGACAGAUCAGAUGAAGUUAUGGAUGUAGAUAAGGUUUUAGAUAAUCAAGCAGUUAGUGGUACCACAAUUGAAGCAGAUGCAACCGCAGAUGUAGAUAUGCCAUCUGUUAGUAACUCGCCAGCUGCGAAUUCAGCGACUCAAGUUGUUAAUGAAAAUGAAAAUGAUAAAUCGGUUGAGGAAGAAUGUCUUGACAUUAACGCCGAACAACAUGACGUAAGCAUGGAAGCACUGGAAGAGGAUGAAGCUGAAAACAACAGUGGUAAAGGUGAUGCCAUUGAAGAGAGUGUCGACCACGAAGUGGAUACAAAUGAUGAAGUGGAUAAUAACAAUGAGGAAGGGGACAUUGCAACUGACGGAGGGGCUGAUCCAGGAAAACAAAAGGAAACAGAUGAAGACGAGGCCGAUACAGCGGAGAAAGUUUCAGACGCCAGAGCGGGUGAAGAAAUUGAACCAGAACGAGAAGAUGAACCAGUUGAAAAUGUACAAGAACCGGAGGAUUCAGACAUAUGUCUUAUACCAGAUGAUCCGGAGAGCGAAGUAACAGAGGCAGAAAAGGAGCAAGCAAUUCUGGCGCGCGAGAAUGCCGAAAAAGAGGAUGCAGAGGCGGAAGCGGAAGCAGAAGCAGAAAAAGGAAAAGGAAAGGAAGUAGAAGAUGCAGCAGCUGUUGAAUUAGAUGAUAUUUCGGGCGAAAAGCAGAAUUCGACUUCAAUGGAGGGUGAUACCUCUCCAAUUGAUAGUACUGUCGAAGCCGAAGCUCAAGCUGAUUCAGCUGGAGCUGAAGCCCCUAACGCUGAUAAUGGCAGCAGCGAAGAACCACUUCCAGCUACAACCGAGGAAGCUGCUGAACCAAACGAUGCUGAUGAACCAUUGUUGGAAGAAAUGCAAACUAGCACUUCUGAAGCGGGCUCUACACCAAAAAUUAUUAUUGCAUGGAUUAUUUCGUCAACGCAGAAGUGUGUACAGUGCGAUGUCGAGAAAGUUUGUGGUUUCCGAUAUAAAAAUCCAGAUAAUGGUAAAUUUGAAUAUUUAUGCGAACAAGAAUGUUGCGAUGCUAUUUUGUCUGCAAAUCCCGGCAAGUAUUUUAUACGUCGAAAGAAAUUUCUUAUAGAGGAGUUGAUAAAUGAAAAAAAGGAUGCUGACUCAAAUGAAAAAGUUGUCGACGGAAGUGGUGACGGUGACGGUGACGAAAAGUCCACCGAGAUAGAGAAUAAUCCACACUCCCACUCGUGUUUACAAUGCAAGGAAGUCAAGUCUUGUAAAUAUUUCUUUCGUCAAGAUGACGAACAACACUAUAUAUGUAGCGAUAUUUGCUACAACCUGUUAAAUUCGGAAGAGCCUGAUAAAUUCAAAUUAAAACGACAUUCAAUAAGAGUACGAAAUAUUGGUUCUAAUUUAACAACAACAAUGUCACCAACAACAGCAUCCUCCGGAUCAAACGCUAAUGCAGCAACUGGAACUAAAACAAAAACUCCCCGAGAAACAGGUGUUGUUGCUCGUACUUCAGCGGAAGCGGAAGCAGCCCGUUUGGAGCGAAAUGCCAGUUUUAUGAGGCGAUGUGCAGAAUGUUUCAAUGAAGUUACAUUAGGGGACAAAAAUUUGUUAUGGGAGACCAUGGACUUUUGCAACGAAAUUUGUCUUGGAAAGUACCAACGUACAAUUGGCGCAAAUUGUCAAACGUGUCAUGGAGAAGUACCCCAUCCAGCUCUCGGAAAGUAUUGUGUCCGUUUUGGUUUUGAUAUUCGCCAAUUCUGCUGCGCAGCAUGUCUAAAUGAAUUCAAAAAAGGCUUGAAAACCUGUUCAUGCUGUCAAAAAGAUAUUUCAUCAGGCAGUGAAGGUUUCCUUGCACCAGUUGGUGAUAAGGAACAGUUCAAGGAUUUCUGUUCACAGGCAUGUAUGCGUCGUUACGAUAGCAUGUGUAAUCCUAAAAAGAAACUUCGUAAUGAUACUUGCGCAGUAUGUAAUAAUGAUAAACCUGUUCGUGUGGAAAUCAUGCUAGAUGGAAAGGAACAUAAUUUUUGCUCAAAUCCUUGCUUUUCAGCUUUUAAAUUCGUAAGCAAUAUUGUUGCCGACCAGUGCGCAAUGUGUUCGAAAUACUUUGAACGUAAAGGCGCUGAAUCUUUUACCAUAUAUACAGAAAGACGAACUAAAGUAUUCUGCACACGUGUUUGUCUUAAUGUGUAUAUAAUCGUUAAUAGGCGAAUUGUCUCUUGUCAAUGGUGCAAAGUGAAAAAGUACAAUUUCGAUAUGAUAUACAAACAGCAGGACGCACAAGAAAUACUUAUGUGCUCUUUAAAUUGUUUAACAUUGUAUGGCGUAUCUAUAAAUGCCUUUUCGCGUACUGUUGCAAAUUGCGACAAUUGUAAUACAUCUGCCACACCGCAAUACCACCUCACCAUGUCGGAUGCCUCAAUGCGUAAUUUCUGCACAUAUCAGUGUGUAAUGCAGUUCCAGAGUCAAUUUGCACGUGCUCCCCUCACUUUGGAAAACGACUCGCCCUCAACACAACAGACACCUACAGUAGGUCAGACAGGGUCCAAUAAGAACAAUGUUCCAUUUCCUACAGGUCUACCAAAAAGGGUUAAAUUGAAGUUUCCGCAACAACCCAAGCAGCAAAUUCAGAUUAAACUUCCUACAAAAACAACGAUAUCGAAUAAAAAGGGCCCUACAAUGCCUGUUAUAUCAACGGUAUCAUCUUUGGCAAGCGGUGAAACUGAAACAAUGAUAGGCAAUGUAACAGUCCGUCGGGGUAGAAUUAGGGGACGUAAAGUAGAUUCACCACCUCCAUUACCAGCAAUACCUGCAACUACAACAACUAAUGCCAUCUCCAGAGGUCGACCAAGAAAACAAGUAGAUUAUGCUGUCUCUCCAUCUCCUCCACCUUUGGAGAUUCCCACUUCAACGGCAAAAUCUGUUGGAAAGAGAGGACAAGGCACUUCAGUUUCCACUCAUGUUGAAAAGGGCGUGGGAGAAACCAGAAUUAUCGCUGUACCACCUUAUCCACCUGCUGUUCGUAAUGUGCAGACCAGUUGCAAACCGCAAACUGUUACAGUUGGUUUUCAAACUACACCGAACACAACGAACGCAGCUACACAAACUGGCAAGGACUACUCGAACAAGGUGCUAAUACCAGUGCCUGUGCCAAUCUAUGUACCACAGCCUAUGUACAUGUAUUCUGCACCGUUUCCUGUGCCAGUGCCUAUCCCAUUACCUAUACCCGUACCAAUUUUCAUACCAACAACAAGGAAUUCUGCACAGGGAAUACUUAAGGAAAUAAAAAAAAUACAGGAUAAAAUGCCAGCUGAUCCAUUUGAAGCUGAGCUGCUUAUGAUGGCUGAAAUGGUAGCUGAAGAAAAGCACGAAUCUGAUUCGGAUUCUGAAGAUGAGGUUAAAACUGAGCCAAGUUUGGUUCCAAUCCAAUAUAAUAAUGAUGUGCAACCUGUUGAGGUCGCAAACAAUUCAUAUGGCGAAGAAGUACUACAGAUGGCAUUAAAAAUGGCAACUGGAGAGUAUGAUCAACCUGCAGUAGAUCUUGAAUCAGCAAUGUCGGCAAAUGAAAUAACAAAUCCACCACCAGGAAUGGUUGGACAUGAUGACUCUAUGAGUCACAUGAGUGCACAUCAUAUGCAGCAACAACCACACCAUGUAAUGGAACCGCAACGUGCUGGACGCGGACGCAAAAGAGGUGGCUUAACUUCGCCAGUAUCGCCACGCAGCAAUAAUCGAUCGCCAGUGAAACGUUCUAGACUUGAUAUAGAACCUGCACAACCACCGCCACAACCUGUACAACCUGUGGAGAAACCCGAUGCAAAUAUGUGUCUGAAGUAUACCUUCGGCGUGAAUGCCUGGAAACAAUGGGUAAUGACUAAGAAUGCCGACAUCGAAAAGAGUACGACAAGGCGUCGGCCGUUUAAAACGGAGCUUUUGCAAAUGACCGCCGAUGAAUUGAACUAUUCAUUGUGUCUAUUUGUUAAGGAAGUGCGAAAACCAAAUGGCACAGAAUAUGCUCCAGAUACCAUCUACUAUUUGGUGUUAGGUAUUCAGCAAUAUCUGUAUGAAAAUGGGCGAAUAGAUAAUAUUUUCACGGAUCCCUAUUAUGAACGUUUUACCGAUUGUCUGGAUGAGGUGGCUCGUAAAUUUUCUGUCCUCUACAACGAUUCUCAAUACAUAGUUACCCGUGUCGAAGAGGAACAUUUAUGGGAAUGCAAGCAACUGGGUGCUCAUUCACCACAUGUUUUACUCAGUACACUUAUGUUCUUUAAUACAAAACAUUUCAAUUUAACGACUGUAGAAGAGCACAUGCAAUUAUCGUUCUCUCAUAUAAUGAAGCAUUGGAAACGUUCAGCACAAAAUGCUAAAAUGCCCGGCACAAGAAAUGUAUUAUUACGAUUUUAUCCUCCACAAGCUGGUCUUGAUGCUAAUCCACGAAAGAAAAAAGUUUACGAACAACAGGAGAACGAAGAAAAUCCUUUACGUUGCCCGGUUCGUCUAUAUGAAUUCUAUCUUUCUAAAUGUCCGGAAAGUGUAAAAACGCGAAAUGAUGUAUUCUAUUUACAACCUGAACGUUCUUGUGUGCCCGAUUCACCAGUCUGGUACUCGACACAAGCGCUGAGUCAGGAAUCUCUUCAAAAGAUGUUACAUCGGGUCAAGAUGGUUAAGGAGAUCAACAUUGCACUGCUGACGAGUUAAUACGAUAUGGUUUUGCCAACCAGCAGCAGCAUCAGCAGCACAUCUAAUACUAACAUCCCUAACACUUAUAGUCAUAGUCGCAGCCAAUCAAAUCAGCACCAGCAUUCGGCGCUGCAGACGGCCAUAAAUGCGUUGCGCUGUUUGUUUCCACCUCUUGGCGACUAUUUCAGCACUGUUCGUUGAUCUACUCAGCAAGUCAGUUUCUAAGAAUUAAGUGAGAAUAUAUAAUUGGUACAGAUUUGCUAUAACUGAUAAAAAAAAAAAAA